GUGGGUAACCUGCCUUAUAGUGGGGGAUAGCCUUUCGAAAGGAAGAUUAAUACCGCAUGAGAUUGUAGUAUCGCAUGAUAUAGCAAUUAAAGGAGCAAUUCGCUAUAAGAUGGACCCGCGUCGCAUUAGCUAGUUGGUGAGGUAAUGGCUCACCAAGGCGACGAUGCGUAGCCGACCUGAGAGGGUGAUCGGCCACAUUGGGACUGAGACACGGCCCAGACUCCUACGGGAGGCAGCAUG
rnacentral:rRNA from 1 species